rnacentral:rRNA from 1 species
GUCCUACGGGAGGCUGCAGUGGGGAAUCUUGCGCAAUGGGCGAAAGCCUGACGCAGCCAUGCCGCGUGAAUGAUGAAGGUCUUAGGAUUGUAAAAUUCUUUCACCGGGGACGAUAAUGACGGUACCCGGAGAAGAAGCCCCGGCUAACUUCGUGCCAGCAGCCGCGGUAAUACGAAGGGGGCUAGCGUUGCUCGGAAUUACUGGGCGUAAAGGGAGCGUAGGCGGACAUUUAAGUCAGGGGUGAAAUCCCGGGGCUCAACCUCGGAAUUGCCUUUGAUACUGGGUGUCUUGAGUAUGAGAGAGGUGUGUGGAACUCCGAGUGUAGAGGUGAAAUUCGUAGAUAUUCGGAAGAACACCAGUGGCGAAGGCGACACACUGGCUCAUUACUGACGCUGAGGCUCGAAAGCGUGGGGAGCAAACAGGAUUAGAUACCCUAGUAGUCG